GUUUUGGACCGCUCUUCCGGUGGAUGAAGCCGAGCCCUGUUGUUCCGCAAUGGUACUCUGCUGUUCGAGUCUCUCCAACGAUUCCACACGUGUUCUUAUAGAACCACCGUAUUAUACCAGAAAUUUCAAGAAAAAGCUUUUAUACAUAAAAGCGAGCUCCUUGUCCCACGGUCAUGUUUCUCUAAAUAUUAUAUCUUUUUUAUAUAUGUAUACAAAAUCUCAAGUUCUUUACGAGAAUUUCGUCAUACAGUAAUUUUGUAUUUAGACGAAUGAUAUACAAAUUUAAUAAAAAAAAUCAUCCUUUAUAAAAUAACAAAUAAGAUAAAUAAAAGAUAUAUAUAUAUAUAAUCGUGAUAACAUAUUUCGGAAAUACGAGGAAAUUAAAGAAAAACAUAAGAACAUAAGUAAUUUUAGUAAUGUAUUGUAAUUUGUCUCUUUUUUUGACACGUCUGUUGUUAAUAUAUCAAGUAAAUAUAUUAAAUUAAUUAUAACAAAUCAUUCGAAUCAUGACAAGUGUACAUAAAUAAAUUGCAUUUCAUAAUU